GAGAGAGAGAGAGAGAGAGAGAGAGAGAGAGAGAGAAAGACCAACGCAACUACCAGUAAAAUUCCUAAAUCCCAAAUGAGAUGCGUGUACUGUUCACAUUUCACCUAGCCCUCAUCCUCUCCGACCUUGCUCUGGCGAUCAACGGGCGGCCCCUUCGUCUUCUUCAAAAUCAUCACUAAAGUAACAUUCAUUUGCAGAGAGAUCAGAAUCUUCCAUCAGAGCCACCCACACCGAGUGAUCAAUUUAGGGUUUGAUCCUUCCUUUGGAACUCUCUCUUCUUACUGAUCAGAUUAUUGAAAUGGAUGCCAAAGAUGAUACUAGGAAGUGAUUGAAACUAGUUGUAUGUUGAACUUCGACUUCGACUUCAACUCGAACGACUCGGUACUAAUUUACCAGACUUUAUGUCCAUUAACUGAUUGACUGGUUGCCUUUGUUAUAAGGUGGAAGACCACAGAGCUAUUUUGAUGGCUGAGGCUGAAAUUGAUCAGACUAACGGUGGAUCGCCAGAAAUGGAACUUCAUAUCACUCAAAUUCUUGAAAAAUUGGACAAUUUCACUAACCUGGUACUAUUUUCAUUUACAUAAUAUUAAUAAUCCUUUUAUUCAUUCAUUUAUGAAAUGGAUCUUCUCAUUCUUGCUGUUUGUUGUUUGUUGCAGGUGUCUGAACUUCUUGAAUCUAGAAAGACAAUGUUUAAGGAGCUCAAUAAUGAAUUCGAAGAGCAGAUGAUCACAUUAGUAGUACCUAUUAUAUAUUCACUUCUAUAUAAUUCAAUCUAUAACUUAAACUCUUGCUCUGCUCCAACCAAA